GGUUCGAUGGUGUAGUUGGUUAUCACGUUCGCCUCACAUCUUGUGUAGUCCGCGAAAGGUCGCGAGUUCGAGCCUCGCUUGAAUCA